GAUGAACGCUGGCGGCGUGCUUAACACAUGCAAGUCGAACGGAAAGGCUCCUGCUUGCAGGGGUACUCGAGUGGCGAACGGGUGAGUAACACGUGGGUGAUCUGCCCUGCACUUCGGGAUAAGCCUGGGAAACUGGGUCUAAUACCGGAUAGGACGAUGGUUUGGAUGCCAUUGUGGAAAGUUUUUUCGGUGUGGGAUGAGCUCGCGGCCUAUCAGCUUGUUGGUGGGGUAAUGGCCUACCAAGGCGUCGACGGGUAGCCGGCCUGAGAGGGUGGACGGCCACAUUGGGACUGAGAUACGGCCCAGACUCCUACGGGAGGCAGCAGUGGGGAAUAUUGCACAAUGGGCGCAAGCCUGAUGCAGCGACGCCGCGUGGGGGAUGACGGCCUUCGGGUUGUAAACUCCUUUCGCUAGGGACGAAGCGCAAGUGACGGUACCUGGAGAAGAAGCACCGGCUAACUACGUG
rnacentral:rRNA from 1 species